GUUGCCCAGGGCAACCGCUCCUUCAGGCGUGAAUGUGGCGGCUGCCUCUGCGAAUGGACGGCGUGGGAAGAGUACAUUAGGUGCCACAGACCUGCCCCACUGACCAUGGAGGAUGCCCUGGAGGAGGUGAACAAGGAGCUGUGAGCGCCAGCAGGUGGAGCUUGACGUGACGUCUUAACAAAAGCAAAGCACCGCAGCUUCCCAGAGUUACCAGCGCAGCACUUAAGACAGGAUCUUACGGCGGGGUGGGGCUCCUGGACCGUGACCGGCGUCUUCUUCCUGGGGAGUACGACUUGGACCGGGACCGCGACUGGGACCGGGAGCGGCUUCUGGAGGAGCGCGACCUGCUCCGACUUCUAGAUCUGGAGCGGGAGUAGGAACGGGAGCAGGAGCGCGACCUUGACCUUGAGUACGAGCCUGAAGACUUGGAGGAUCUUGAGUUGGAGCGGGAGGAAGAACGCCCUCGACUCUUGGAUCUGCUCCGAGACCUCGAGGGUCCGCUGUUCCUCUUCUCCUGGCCUUUCCUCCGCCGGGCCCGCAUUUUUGCUCGGAAGAACUCAUAGAGGCCGUUCUGCUCCCAGCCUUCACUGUAAGACACGGCAUUCCGUGUGUGACCACGUGACACCCACCCACAAGGAAGUCGUGAAAAAGUCAUCAGGAGUUAAUCCACAGAACCUUGGAGAGUACAUGGCCCUGUGGCUGUGGGCUCCGAGCAUGGGCGCAGUAGAGCUUGGUUCAGUGUUCCCACAGGGCUGUCCUCCUGCAGCCCAGUGGCUCCUCUGGUGCCCACGCCCUUGCCACCCUGCUGUUCCGCUGAGGUGGUGGGGACCCAUGGUCUGUGGAACUGGGAAACAGGAACACUGACUCAUGGGUGGACAGGCCUGCAGCCCAGCACAGGAAGGAGGGGUGACCACUGGGAAGGGUGGGCUGAGGGCCCUGUGGCAGCCGGCUGCUUGAGACGUGCCGCCGUGCCACACCUUCCCUAACUUCUUCUGAUGUGUCUCCAUUAAAACGCCCUUCAUUGAGG
rnacentral:lncRNA from 10 species